AAUUUUGGACAAUGGGGGAAACCCUGAUCCAGCCAUCCCGCUUGUGCGAUGAAGGNCUNNGGGUUNUNAAGCACUUUUGGCAGNNNNNAAAAGUCUCUGAUUAAUACCUGGAGAUGCUGACGGUACAUGCAGAAUAAUCACAGGCUAACUACGUGCCAGCAGCCGCGGGAAUACGGAGGGUUCAAGCGUUAAUCGGAAUUACUGGGCGUAAAGCGUGGGCAGGCGGUUUGGCAAGAAGGAUGUGAAAUCCAAGGGCUUAACCUUGGAACUGCAUUCUUAACUGCCAGGAUAGAGUAUGUCAGAGGAGGGUAGAAUUCCGCGUGUAGCAGUGAAAUGCGUAGAGAUGCGGAGGAAUACCGAUGGCGAAGGCAGCCCCCUGGGAUAAUACUGACGCUCAUGCACGAAAGCGUGGGGAGCAAACAG
rnacentral:rRNA from 1 species